UGGAAAUCAAAUAAAACGAAAGGAUUAAAAAUCGUUGUCCCUGCUCGAUAUCCCUGUAAACAAACCCCUAAACCCAGUGAAAUCUGUAACCAGUAUUCUCAAAUUCUCCUUCCGUUGCGUCACUAAACUCUCCCAUUUUCAUCCAUCUCUUAACUCAAUUCCAUCAUCCCGAUUGCGACUCACCCUUCUUUACCAGUAGCAAUUCAAUUCGACUGUGUAAUUAGUAAAUUUAGGGUUUUCUUCCAUUGGAGGGGAUGGAGCCAUGCCACAAGAAAACGGCAAUGUCUACAACGAAGGAGGAGGACAAUCACAUUAACAAUGGCGGACAAGAAGACAGAUUAAGUUCUCUACCUGAUACUCUUCUUAUCACUAUACUCUCUCUUCUCCGAAUUGAUACCGCCGCCGCAACCUCAGUCUUAUCCCAUCGGUGGCGCUACCUUUGGACCCACAUCACCGACCUAUCCCUAGGUAAUUGAGGUAAUUGAGGUAAGCAUUCCUCAGAAUUCUAAAAUUUAGAUGCCCAAUUGUGUUUUCGAAACUGCAUCACUGGUAGACAUCAACAUGCGUUUUGGAAAUAUGGAGUUUGAGCCUUAUAUUUGUGAUGGAAUUUCGUUUAUUAAUCUUCCUAACUUGAGGAAGCUUGACCUGUUUCUUUAUGAUUCACAUCGUUAUUUGUUGGGUACCCUUUUUAAGUCUUUGCCUCUAUUGGAAGAUUUGGAACUAUGGUUGAAUUUGACUGAGAAUGACCACAGUAUUGGUAUAUCUGCCCCCAAUUUGAAGCGUUUGUUUAUACACCUUACGGAUCAUAAAACCUGUAGAUUUUCGAUUGAUGCCCCUAAAUUGGAGUACUGUAACACAGGGGGUUAUUUUUAUCAUUUUGUUAAUAGCCCAAGUUCUUUACAAGAAGUGGAACUUAGACUAAGUGACACGAUUUACCGUGAUGAUGACUACUAUGACGACGAUGAGUAUGAGUAUCUGGAACCAAUACUAGGGCUGAUUGAUGGGAUAACUUGUGUUAGGUCCCUUCGCUUAUAUGGUAAUGGUGGUCAUCUGUUGAGUUAUCUUAGUAAUUUGGGGAUCGACAUGCCAGUCUUCCGUAAUUUGACGCAUCUUAGAUUUAGUAUUGUCAAUGUUUUGAGGGACAAAUUACCAGAUUGCAUUUUAGGCAACCUUAAGAGGCUAGAGAUAGGUGGCCUGAAGCUGAUUGACUACUACGUUGAAAUCGAGUGGCUAGAACACACUCUAAACAAUGCUCCUCUUUUGGAGGAGCUUCAUGUUACUAUGGAUAUCAAUUGCCAAGGAAAUCCUGAUUAUGAACAGAAGGAAUACAACUUCUGUAAAACUUUCUUCAGGAGAUCAUGGAGUUGUCGGAUUGAGUUCUGCGGCCAGAGUAUCAUUGCUUCAAGUUCUAACUUGAGAAAUGGCCGACUUACUUGUGAAAUGCGGCUUUGAUAUACCAUUGUCAACUUUUUGUUUGACACCUAAAAUCAGGAACGUCACAAGUAAUCCGGGACGGCCUUAUAAGGAAAGCGUUUCGAGUAUUCCGGGACGGAGUGAGUAUAUCCUGUUAACUUUUAAGUAUUUUGAGGGAACGUCUGCGGUUGCUGUCAGGAUCUAAACUAAUCUUCGAAGGACGUGAUACAAAUAUGGUGGCUGACUUUUUUUGCCAGGAACGCAAGGAAGACGUUUAUUUUGUGUAAUAACCAAAGCUGUAAUGUAAUUAAAUUGCCCCUCCACCUGAUUGUAUUAAGUUUCUAGUAGAGGACUCGCACCAUCUGAACUUCUCCAUGUCUAACUGCCCCUAUGCUGCUGGUAAUGGAUUUGUUUUUGAAAGGCGAUGAUGAACCUGUUUGGACAAUGAUGGCUAUUCAUGGUUUCACCUCCAAGUGUGAAAUAAAUGGUUUUUACUAUAUGUAUGAUGAAAAUAAAUAAAAUGAGUAACUAAAUGCUUAAUUGCUUAUGAUAUGGUUGUAAGUUUUAACCUUUGAGCUACAUGUUCAACUAUUCAAAGCAUCCAAAGGAGAAAUCAAUAUCAAAGAAUGUUGUUCAGCUAAA